rnacentral:lncRNA from 1 species
GGGAACUCCAUCUCACUCCCUACUUUAACCGCCUGUAAACCCGCAAGGGCUUCAACAGCAAAUGGAGACUGAACAUUCCGGUGUAAAACCGUCCUCGUUGCCAUGAGUCGUCCGCCCCUGCCCCAGACCACCAGGCCGGAUGCCGACUUAAAGUUCCUACCAUCAAAUGCUGCAUCAAACUGAAUCGUCACGCUGGUUCCUCCCUCUUGAUACCUGUGACUGCUGCUCGGUUUGAAGGUACUUGCUUUCGUCCUCAACCCUUCGAGUUCAGCUAUGUAGUUUCUAACUUUAAGAGAUAAUUCCCUCCCUGUUUCUAUUUUCUGCUCAUAUAUAAAUUUAUUCCUUGAGUUCCAAAUAAACCACAUGCCACAACAGUAAAUCUUACACUGCUCUGAGGUACUUGUUCUGAAAACCCAGGUAAUCCAAUCCCAAAAUCCUUGAAUCGUACUUUCACUAAUCACGACAGAUCUAAUAAUGGACAUAUUUCACCCGUUGCAGGACAAUACCUAAAGAUGUGGGUGAUGUUUUCUUCCCCUCUUCCACAUCGAGGACAGGCCGCGUCAUUACUCACCCGUUUAUGUUUUAAAUUAGCUAGAGUAGGGAUAUAGUUCCAAGAUAUUCUCCAUAUUGUAAUUGCUAUCUUAGCAGGUAGUUGUAAAUUCCAUAGCUUACCGUAGAAAUCCUUUAG